rnacentral:misc_RNA from 1 species
GAUGAAGAACGCAGCGAAAUGCGAUACGUAAUGUGAAUUGCAGAAUUCAGUGAAUCAUCGAAUCUUUGAACGCAUAUUGCGCUCUCUGGUAUUCCGGAGAGCAUGCUUGUUUGAGUAUCAGUAAACACCUCAACUCCCUUUUCUUUUUUGAAAUUGGAGCUGGACUUGAGUGAUCCCAACGCUUUCUUCCAAGAAAGUGGCGGGUUGCUUGAAAUGCAGGUGCAGCUGAACUUUUCUCUGAGCUAUAAGCAUAUCUAUUUAGUCUGCCUAAAAAACAGAUUAUUACCUUUGCUGCAGCUAACAUAAAGGAGACUAAUUCUUGUGCUGACUGAUGCAGGAUUCACAGAGACAGCUUCGGCUGACUUUGUAAACUCGAUCUCAAAUCAAGUAAGACUACCCGCUGAACUUAAGCAUAUCAAUAAGCGGAGGA